GGCGAAGUGGAAGUCUAAUGCAGCACAUAGCCAUGGGUAAAAUGUUUAGACUACAAACCUCUCUGAUUAAUCUUUAGAUUCAAGGCAAAAAUAAAUGUGUUUAGUAGCAGUCAUCUUGGGAUUGUCUUUGUGGAUCACUGGAAAGAGAAGUGUGAUGAUAGAUAGGUGAAAUAUAUGACCAAUGAAGUUAAGUGACAGAUAGCAGUACAGAAGCCUGGUUAGGGCUGAAGCUCCUGAAGUAUGAGGAAAGGCAGAUAUCUAUAAAUAAAGUACAUAAGAUGUGGAAGCUGAUAAGGAGAGAGGACAGCGUGAAAAAAUAAGCUCUGUAAGCCGAAUGAAAACAUAUGGCUUAAGCUUUGGUUGUGUUCACUGCAGUCAUCACUGUGAAAGUUAUCUGAAUAUUUUCUUUGCCUAGCAAGAAGCAAAAAUAUCACUUUUAUCCCCAAAUUAACAGAAUCGAGAAAACCACAGAAUCUGCAGGAGUCCUUCUACAGCCCAUUCCCCUGGGAGAGAAAGGGAGAGGGUGAGACACCCCUGACAUUCAGCAAAGGAAUCCAAGUUAUGCCUGCUGUGUGCCAAGUCCAAAUCUGUCUUGUGAGAAUGUUACUGGAUUGGUAACAUUGAGCACCAAGGAAUUUAUGCUCUGAGAGCCACUGCCUCCCAAAUGGUGGUGCCUGAGGGCAGAUUGCAGGGGUCAGAGGGAAAUGCAUAGCCUCUCUCUCCUCCACCAGCCCCCAGAGCACAAGGACGACCCUUUUGCAAAGUUAUUUGUGCUUUAAAUGUCCCAAUCAAAGAAAAAGAACUUGCGUCUUUAUUAGCCAGUGGAACGAAUCCCUUUUCUUCUGUAGGUGCUUGAAUUCUCAAAGCAGUUGGAUUGGGUUCACGUAUCUUCUCACAGUGUGUGCUGGAUUUUUUCUAAGCAAUUUUCACUCCCACACAAUGAGAUAACAUGAAUGAGUCUGACUGCGGUGGUUGCUGAUGAAGUCAGUGGAGGAUCAGUUUGUGCUGCUUUUCUUCCGGGUGCCUUUCCUGGUUGCCAAGGAGACAGUGGCCUGCCUUUGCCUUACCAGCCAGGCUCUUGGGCCUGAUUCUUCAAAGCAGCAGCCGGGGGAUGUGUUUUCUCUCGAGCAUGAAGUAAUUCUCCAGGAGCAGGCCUCUCUACUUGCGCUGCCCUCUGACAUUUCCCUCAGCAUUAGAAAGCCCUGCCUGUGAGAGGGGGAAUGGCCUGGGACAGAGACUGUGAUGGCCCACAUCUGGCCCUUCCUGGGGGAAGGAAUCAUUUGUCACCAGCUCCUGUCCAUGCACCCAUCAGCCCAAAGAUUUUUUGCCAAGACUCAGUGACCUAGCACAACCUUUUCUAUUACAUUUUCCUUGGAAAAGAGAUAAAGGAAAAUAUGGAAGGACGUGGCACAAUAAACAAGAUAGCAUUGCAUCUUCA
rnacentral:lncRNA from 1 species